UGAUCUUCUACCGGAAAAGGUGUCAUCCCAGUGCUUGACACUGGGAUCCAGGAAACUUAAUUGCAAGUAAUGCAUUGGGUUUGGUGAGUAUGGGUUUUGCGUUAUAGAAUGAAGCACUUUUGGUGAAUUUGUAAAGAAAACUAGAUGCCAGUGUCAAGUGCUGGAAUGACAUCAUCUUGGAUGGAAAUA
rnacentral:ncRNA from 1 species